rnacentral:rRNA from 1 species
AUUGAACGCUGGCGGCACGCCUAACACAUGCAAGUCGAGCGGCAGCGAGGUUAGUAGCAAUACUAACUGUCGACGAGCGGCGGACGGGUGAGGAACACGUAGGAACCUGUCCUUAAGAGGGGGACAACCAAGGGAAACUUUGGCUAAUACCGCAUAGACUCGAAAGAGGAAAGCUGCUCGCAAGGGUGGCACUUAAGGAGGGGCCUGCGUCCGAUUAGCUAGUUGGUAAGGUAAAGGCUUACCAAGGCGAUGAUCGGAAACUGGUCUGAGAGGACGACCAGUCACACUGGGACUGAGAAACGGCCCAGACUCCUACGGGAGGCAGCAGUGGGGAAUAUUGGACAAUGGGGGCAACCCUGAGCCGGCGAUGCCGCGUGGGUGAAGAAGGCCUUCGGGUUGUAAAGCCCUUUAGGUUGGGAAGAAGGGUGUUGUAGGAAAUGACAACAUUUUGACGGUACCGACAGAAUAAGCACCGGCAAACUCUGUGCCAGCCGCCGCCGUAA